GGGCGUGUGGCGUAGUUGGUAGCGCGUCUGCCUUGCAAGCAGAAGGUCACUGGUUCGAAUCCUGUCUCGUCCA